rnacentral:rRNA from 1 species
AUGGCGUCCGUGGCGGAGCUCAAGGAGAAGCACGCGGCGGCGACGGCCUCGGUCAACUCCCUCCGGGAGCGGCUCCGCCAGCGCCGGCAGACGCUCCUCGACACCGACGUGGAGAAGUACUCCAAGGCGCAGGGGCGGACGGCGGUGAGCUUCAACCCCACGGAUCUGGUCUGCUGCCGCACGCUGCAGGGCCACAGCGGGAAGGUAUAUUCUCUGGAUUGGACUCCUGAGAAGAACUGGAUAGUUAGUGCCUCACAAGAUGGAAGACUAAUUGUAUGGAAUGCUUUAACGAGUCAGAAAACACAUGCCAUAAAGCUACACUGUCCAUGGGUGAUGACAUGUGCUUUUGCACCCAAUGGUCAAUCUGUUGCUUGUGGCGGUCUUGAUAGUGCAUGCUCUAUAUUCAACCUUAGCUCGCAAGCAGACAGAGAUGGGAACAUGCCAGUAUCAAGAGUACUUACUGGACACAAAGGCUAUGUUUCAUCCUGUCAGUAUGUCCCAGACCAGGAAACCCGCUUGAUUACAGGCUCAGGUGACCAAACGUGUGUCCUGUGGGAUGUUACUACUGGCCAGAGGAUAUCAAUCUUUGGAGGUGAAUUUCCAUCAGGGCAUACAGCUGAUGUGUUAAGUCUGUCCAUCAACUCGUUAAACACGAAUAUGUUUAUCUCGGGUUCAUGUGAUACAACUGUAAGGCUAUGGGAUCUCAGGAUUGCAAGUCGGGCAGUUCGGACAUAUCAUGGACAUGAGGGCGACAUUAACAGUGUCAAGUUUUUCCCUGAUGGUCAGAGGUUCGGUACUGGUUCAGAUGAUGGUACAUGCAGAUUAUUUGACAUGAGAACAGGCCAUCAACUUCAAGUGUACAAUCGGGAGCCUGAUAGAAAUGAUAAUGAGCUCCCUAUUGUUACAUCUGUCGCUUUUUCCAUAUCAGGAAGGCUUCUUUUUGCUGGAUACUCUAAUGGUGACUGUUAUGUGUGGGACACGCUUCUUGCCGAGGUAGUGCUUAAUUUGGGAACUCUCCAAAACUCUCAUGAAGGCCGUAUAAGCUGCCUUGGGCUGUCAUCCGAUGGGAGUGCAUUGUGUACAGGAAGCUGGGACAAAAAUUUGAAGAUCUGGGCUUUCAGUGGACACCGCAAGAUAGUCUGA